CAACUACGUGCCAGCAGCCGCGGUAAGACGUAGGGCGCGAGCGUUGUCCGGAUUUAUUGGGCGUAAAGAGCUUGUAGGCGGCUUGUUGCGUCGUCCGUGAAAACCUGGGGCUCAACUCCAGGCUUGCGGUCGAUACGGGCAGGCUAGAGUUCGGUAGGGGAGACUGGAAUUCCUGGUGUAGCGGUGAAAUGCGCAGAUAUCAGGAGGAACACCGGUGGCGAAGGCGGGUCUCUGGGCCGAUACUGACGCUGAGGAGCGAAAGCGUGGGGAGCGAACAGGAUUGGAUACCCUGGUAGUCCACGCUGUAAACGUUGGGCGCUAGGUGUGGGGGGCCUCUCCGGUUUCCUGCGCCGUAGCUAACGCAUUAAGCGCCCCGCCUGGGGAGUACGGCCGCAAGGCUAAAACUCAAAGGAAUUGACGGGGGCCCGCACAAGCGGCGGAGCAUGCGGAUUAAUUCGAUGCGACGCGGAGAACCUUACCUGGGUUUGACAUGGCCGUUAAAGCCGUAGAGAUACGGUGUCCUUCGGGGGCGGU
rnacentral:rRNA from 1 species